rnacentral:sRNA from 1 species
UGUCAAAGUUUAGAUAGAACCUGCAAUGC